UACGGAGGGGGCUAGCGUUGUUCGGAAUUACUGGGCGUAAAGCGUGCGCAGGCGGUUUUGUAAGUUUGUCGUGAAAUCCCCGGGCUUAACCUGGGAAUUGCGAUGAAGACUGCAAGGCUAGAAUCUGGCAGAGGGGGGUAGAAUUCCACGUGUAGCAGUGAAAUGCGUAGAGAUGUGGAGGAACACCGAUGGCGAAGGCAGCCCCCUGGGUCAAGAUUGACGCUCAUGCAUGAAAGCGUGGGGAGCAAACAGG
rnacentral:rRNA from 1 species